CACGUAGGGCGCGAGCGUUGUCCGGAAUUAUUGGGCGUAAAGAGCUCGUAGGCGGCCUGUUGCGUCCGCUGUGAAAGCCCGGGGCUUAACCCCGGGUCGCAGUGGAUACGGGCAGGCUAGAGGUAGGUAGGGAGAAUGGAAUUCCCGGUGUAGCGGUGAAAUGCGCAGAUAUCGGGAGGAACACCGGUGGCGAAGGCGGUUCUCUGGGCCUUACCUGACGCUGAGGAGCGAAAGCGUGGGGAGCGAACAGG
rnacentral:rRNA from 1 species